rnacentral:lncRNA from 1 species
UAUCAAUUUCAUUUAAAAGAACUUAAUUUAUAGUAAAAAAAAAUAACUUGUAUUCAUGAAGAUGCCGAAACACUUUCCUCGCCAUCCUCAGUAAAAAUAUGUCACUCGGUUGAGCUUUGAAUAAAUUGACAACGAAAUAUAAGUCUUUUGUUCACAACCCUAANNCUUGAGUGUCGGUAUCAGACUUAAUACGAGAUGAUGAAAAAUAAGAAAUGAAGUUUGACAGUUUCGCACGUAGACGAUUAUGACAAUGCUCCACAAAUAUCUCUUCAAAUAUCAAAAUAUUCUUUGACUUGAAAUUCCCAUGCAUCACUCCCUGUUUUUUCGGGUCCGUCGCCGCGUCAAUGAUAUCUCU